AUUGAACGCUAGCGGGAUGCCUUACACAUGCAAGUCGAACGAGUGGCGGACGGGUGAGUAAUCUAUCGGAACGUGCCCAGUAGAGGGGGAUAACUACUCGAAAAGGUAGCUAAUACCGCCUACCAUCGGAUCGGCCACGAUCGGAUUAGCUAGUUGGUGGGGUAACGGCUCACCAAGGCCACGAUCCGUAGCUGGUUUGAGAGGACGACCAGCCACACUGGGACUGGGACACGGCCCAGACUCCUACGGGAGGCAGCAGUGGGGAAUUUUGGACAAUGGGGGAAACCCUGAUCCAGCCAUCCCGCGUGUAUGAGAAGGCCUUCGGGUUGUAAAGUACUUUUGGCAGGGAAGCGUUAUCUGCAGAAUAAGCACCGGCUAACUACGUGCCAGCAGCCGCGGUAAUAC
rnacentral:rRNA from 1 species